GACAGAGGGUGCAAACGUUGUUCGGAAUUACUGGGCGUAAAGCGCGUGUAGGCGGCGCAGCAAGUCGGGUGUGAAAGCCCUGAGCUCAACUCAGGAAGUGCACUCGAAACUGCUGUGCUUGAGUCCCGGAGAGGAUGGCGGAAUUCUCGGUGUAGAGGUGAAAUUCGUAGAUAUCGAGAGGAACACCGGUGGCGAAGGCGGCCAUCUGGACGGGUACUGACGCUGAGACGCGAAAGCGUGGGGAGCAAACAGG
rnacentral:rRNA from 1 species